CCGAGAGGAACCUCUCUCCCACAUCUGUGGGAGAACUAGCCCACCACAGGCGGCCGCCCCUGCUUAGUGCCUCUCAGCACCUCCUUGGGUUCCGGAGCUGACAGCAUGGGUCAGGAGGGAGGCAGAAGAAUGAACAAACUGAGAAAGCAGUCUGAAGAUGGAACAGAGAGACAUUUGUAGAUGUUGACCUUGGAGAUUGCAGUCAUGUCCCUCCCUGCAAGGCGAGGGAUGCCUGCAGUUAUCGGAAGCUGGAAGAGUUUUCCAGGUUUGAUUUGGGGACUGGGAGACAGCAGCCUAAACUUGAUCAUCCUUUUGGCAAUUACAGGGAGUCACACUCGAGGUAUGCAGAAGUUUCUGAGCCAGGGAUCAAACCCGAGCUGCAGCAGUGACAACAUCAGAUCCUUAUCUGGAAGGCCACCAGGGAACUCCCUGUCCUCCCAUUUUGACUCUGGACUAGACCUGUGACUUGUUUGGGCCAAUUUGAUGUUUGCAAAUAUGACACAAGCAGAGGUUUGAAAAGUGCUGUUGGGUUUGCUUGCUCUGGAUUUUCUGCCAUGAGAACAUGACCAGGCUGCUACCUAGAAAAUGGUUGUGUCAUCCCAGUCAUUUCCCCUGAAAAAAAUUCUAGCCCAACCACAGCCAUCUGACCCCCAGUCGCAAGUGAGCCAAAAUCAGCUAAGCCCAGCCUAGUUCAGCGGAACCCUGCAAAAUAAUGAGUUCAGUGUCCUCAUAUGCCAUAGGGUUUUAUGAUUGUUUGUUAUGCAACAUUAUUGUGACUAAAGGUAGUUGACACACAUAUAUCAUGUUAUUUUAUUCUCACAGCUUUCUGAUGUUACUUCCUUGCAUCCUCUGGAACCCCUGUUGAACCUUUUACCUCCUUAACCUAUCUGUCCACAGAACAAUUCCUGGUUUUCCUUUAGAAAAAUGCAGUUUCUUCCUUCUUGUUCUGUUCUUUUUCUUUAUCUGAUGGCCUGUGUGUAAGUGGGAGAUGAGGUUGGCAUUUUACACUGCUGCCUUCAAAUCAUUUUGCUUCUAUAUUUGGGCAAUGUUAAGCUCUUCCUAAAAUAUAGCCUGGUUAUUGGAGUUCCCGUCUUGGCGCAGUGGUUAACGAAUCCGACUAGGAACCAUGAGGUUGCGGGUUCGAUCCCUGGCCUUGCUCAGUGGGUUAAGCAUCUGUCGUUGCCGUGAGCUGUGGUGUAGGUUGCAGACGCGGCUCGGAUCCCGCGUUGCUGUGGCUCUGGCGUAGGCUGGUGGCUACAGCUCCAAUUAGACCCCUAGCCUGGGAACCUCCAUAUGCCGCGGGAGCGGCCCUAGAAAAGGCAAAAAGACCAAAAAAAAAAUAUAUAUAUAUAUACAUAUAUACAUAUAUAUAUCCAGUCCUUAUAAUCUCUUGGUACAGAUUAUCCUCCAAGAUCUAAAAUUCCUCUUUAUUACAUCAUAUAUCAUAACUGCUUAACCUUCCAGUUCUUUAUACUUAUUUACAUAUAUAUACUCCAUCAUUUCACAACUGUCUUAUUAUUUUGCCCUUUUUCCUUCUGUUUCGUGGACUCAGCAAAAUACUUUCUUUGAAUCUAUCCACAUGCUUUCCUUCUCUGCUCUUAGGCCAAAGUGGCUCAUCCAGAACCGCUACAAAAAAGAAAUCCACAGUGGCCGAAGUGCGCUGCUGUCUCCUUUCCUCCUUUCCCAGACAUCAUCUGUUUGUUCUCACUUAUCCCUGUCCUUUCAUAUCCAUGUGGGACUCUUGCCAACUCAGUUUCCCCUUCUUUCUCUCUUACUAUCUCUUUAAUAUUAUAUUAAAGAGACUUACUUUCCUAUUUAAGUCCUGCAUGAUCCUUCUUCCUGUGCAAAAGCCAGGUCUGUAAGAGCCACCUUCAGGAGUUCCUGAUGGCUUAGCAGUUAAAGAUCUGGCAUUGUCACUGCUGUGGCCUGGGUUGCUGCUGUGCUACCUGUUCGAUCCCUCACCUGGGAACUUCUAUAAUGCUGCGGGUAUAGCCAAAAAAAAGGGGGGAGCCACCUUCAUUUCUUAGAUAGCCUUCUUGAAUCCCCAUUUCCUUUACAGCCCACUGCAUUCAGGCCUAGGCCCACACCAUUUGACUGAAUUUACCCUGUGUUAGGUUAUACACUCCUGAUUGUAAUAGGCUCUCUUUAGACAAAUUUUACAUUUAAAUACUACUAUUGUUUGAUUGUUAAGUUUCUUCCCAUUUUCUCCUAUUAUAAGUAAAGCUGCAAAGAAUACAAAGCACUGUUUGCCAAACAAUUUUUGAGUACUCACAUCAUUUCAGGUUAGUAAGACAAGUUGUUUGCAAAGGCAGCCAUGACUUUUUUGAAAUUUUGGCAAAAAUCACAUGCUUCCUGUUGCUAAAUGAGAAAUGCUACAAGUCUCUGAAAUUCAAAGGAAACUUUUUCGCAGAGGCAAUUCAAGACUUUCCCACUUGUCAUGCUGGAGAAUACUCUUCUUUAAAAAGUCUCUUCAUUUUUUUUUUUCAGAACAGAUUUUAAUUUCCGAACAUUUUCUAUCAUGUAAUAUAGGUUUAGAGAUAGAGAUUAUUCAAGGAAAGUCUAUUCUUUCUUGGCUUUUCUAAUUAUUUUUUAAUAACAAAACCAAUUAAAUAGUGACAGGCAUAAAGUAUGAGGAAAAAGGUUUUAAUAAGAGGUUUUGCAAUAUGCUAUUUCUUUCUGUUAUGUUCUUCUACAGUGAGUUAGCUCUAUUUCCUCACUUUGAACAAAUAGCUAGGUUUCAGUGUAUUGUGAAUAUGAUGCUAGAGCUGGCUCUUCUACAGCCACAUCCAUCCUCUGCCUUUCUUUUCCCUGCUCUGUUCCUCAGAUCUGUAUUUGCCAGACAUUUCAACUGUCUAGCCCCUCUGGCUGGAGGAAAUAAAGGCCACUUCCUCCCUGCCUCCAUGCUGAGGUUCUGGCAAUGACUGGCUCUCUCUAAACCUCUAGCUCAAGCCAGCAUCCACGUUCCCUGGCUCUAGCUCUCACUAGACUCCACUCACACCACCUUUUCCUCCUUUUUGAAUUAGGGUUAGGAACAGAAAAGCUCCCAACUUUGACUUCUUGUGUGCCUGUAUUAUUUGUCUAUUGCUUGUGUAACAAAUCACCACAAAUUAUAGCAAAUUAAAGCAACAAACAUUAACCUCUGUAUUCUGUGGGUCAGGAAUCUGGGCAAAGCUUACUUGAGUGCACAUGGCUUGAGGUCUCUCAUGAGACUUCUUUUUUCAUUUUUAAUGGGGACAGGAAGUAUCUGUUCCCAAAGGUAUUUUAUAGGAUUGUUUGGAGGCCUCAGUUUCUUUCUACAGGAAGCUCUUCACAGGGCUGCCUCAUGAUGGGGAGGUUAGAUUCCUUCGAAACGAGGGAUCUAAGAGAGAGGAAGAGUGUGAAUGCUCAAGAUGGAAAUGAUAAUUUUUUUUUUACAAACGUCUCUUUUCCCAGUUUUACUGAGAUAUACUUGACAUAUAAUGUUGACAAAGCUUAAGGUAUACAACGUGUUGAUUUGAUGCACUUGUAAAUUACAGUAUGACUACAAUAGCAUUAUAGCUAAUACUGCCAACAUGUCACAAACAUAAUGACUCUUUCGUUUUUGUGGUGAGACCAUUUAAGGUCUACACGUUUUUUUGUGCAUAUUGACAAAAUAAUUCCAAAACACAUAUGACAAUAUAAAGGCUAAGAAUAGGUAAGACAAUCAUGAAGGUCAAAGUUAGAGAACUUCUACUACCAGAUAUCAAGACAGGAAUCCCCUUGUGGUUAAGGAUCUGGCUUUUUCACUGCUGUGGUGAGGGUUCAGUCCCUGGCCCAGGAACGUCUACAUGCCAUGGAUGUGACCAAAAAAAGAAGACUUUUACAACUGAAGUAAAAAAUUUUUGAUUUUGGUGUAAAGAUAGACUCACAGACAAAGGGAACAUAAUAGACAUACCAAAAAAGAGAUCCAUAUACAACAAUCACUUGACUAAUGACAAAGGUGCCAUUACAGUACAGUGAAGAAUAGAUGACCUUUUCAGUAAGUGGUACCAGAUCAACUGAACACACUUAUGAAAAAUCUUGAGCCCUACCUCAUAGCAUGCACAAAAUCAAAUCUAUGUGAUUCAUAAGCCUAAAUGUAAAAGGCAAAACAAUAAUCCUUCUUUAAGGAAAAUAUAGGAAAGUAUACUUUUUUUGGCCAUACCCACAGCAUGUGGAAGUUCCCUGGACAGGGAUCUGAACCUGCACCAUGGCAGCAACCUGAGCCACUGCACUGACAAUGCCAGAUCCUUAACCUCUGUGCCACAUGAGAACUCCAGGAAAGCAUACUUUUGACCUUUGAGUAGGCAACUAUUUUUUAAAGAGUCACAAAAAGAAUUAACUAUGCAAUAAAAGUUAAAUUGAACUGUGGUAAAAUUAUGAAUUGUUUAUCAAAAGACAUCAAGAACAAGAUGCAAGUGACAGAGUGAGAGAUGAUGUCUGCAAUACAUACACUUGAUUAUAUAUCCAGAAUAUGUAAAACGUUUGUACACAGCAUUAAGACAGAUACAACACCAUGAAUAAAAAACUUGAGCAGGCACUUGAGUCAAAAGAAUAUACAAAUGGACAAUAAAUAUAUGAAAAAGUGCUCAACCACAUUUAUCACAAAAAAUGCAAAUUAAGCCCUUGAUAUAGUACCAUGAUAGAGAUAUCAGAUAGGUUAAACAAAAUAACAGUAUUGAAUGUUGAUGAAGAUAUACAGCAACAAGACAUUUCAUGAGUUAUACGACCAUGUAUCAUUACAAUAAAUAUGUAAAAUUACUUUGAAAUAUGUAAUAAUACUGAACAUAUGCAUUCCUUAUGCCUCAGCAAUUUCAAUCUUAUGUAUAGAUCUUAAAUUAAUGUGUACAUAUGCACUGAAAGACAUUUUCAAGAAUGUAUAAGAGUUAUUUAUAAUAGUCAAAAACUGGAAACAACUCAUAUAUAUGCAACAAUAGUAGAAUGAAUACACAGAUUGUGAGAUAGUCAUAUAAUGGUAUAUAACUAAGAGAAAAGAACUGCUACAUGCAACAACAUGAAUAGCAAAAAAGGUGUAAUAUAGAGCAAAUGAAGCUAGACACAAGAGAGUACAAGAAUAGAGAAAGGCAUUGAAUUUAUUCAAAACGCAGAAUACUAUACAACGGUUUAAAUGAACUAACAAGAGCUAUAUGCAACAGCAUGGAUAGAAGUAUUUACAAACAUUAUAUUAUCUAACCCUUGCAAUAUUCUUAGAAAUGUUACCCAGUGUACAGAUGUGAAAACUAAAAUUUAAAAACUAAAUUGUUUGGAGUUAUAACCUGAGGCCAGGAUUUCAGUCUUAAUCCAGAUAUAUGAAUUUUAAAUUCAUAUUCCUUGCACUAUUGUAUAGAACUUUCAGGAUUUGUCCUCAGUCAGUCAAGAUGGAGCAAGUGAAAUUGAUGAAAUAUUUUUCCUUCUUACCAGUCCCCAAUUCCAUUUGUCAUUGAAAGGCUAUUCAGUUCUGAAGACCUAGCAUGACUAAAAUGGAAGAUAGAUUUCCAGUUUGUGAUAAAUAAUGUAGACAUCAAUAAUUUUUUUUCUGCAGACUUGGGUCUAUUUUAAAUUAUACCAAUACACCUAAAGAUGCAUAAUUUAUUUUUCUAUGUAGAUCAAUACCAAGACUGAUAUUGAUUCUUUCCAUAAUCUCAUCCCCAAACUUUUGAACACAGCAGUUCCAUAUAGUAUUGAUGAAUGUCUGCUCCAACUUGCAAUUACAGCAAUAACAUCAGUACAUUUGAUGAUUUUCUGAUUGACCCUUUUCCCAAAGCUUUAAAUGUAGUAAUUUAAUACAUAAUAAUAAUCUUUCCUACUUAUAGAUGCUCCAUAAUUAAACAUUAAUGAAAAUUUAGCCUUUGGUAUAUAAAAUGCAUAGAUUCAGCUGCAUAAUAGUACCAAUACUUGACAGUUUUUUGAUUGGUUGUCUUACCAAGAAACCCUCUCUAUUCUGUAAGUUAACAGUUAACUCUCCUGCAUUUCCUUUGUUAAAUUUUUUUUCUGAGAUAGGGUCCUUCUGAAAGAGCAAAACAAAUAGAAGAUUUUCCAUGGGUACAUCUAGUAUUAUGACUUAUACACAAGAGAAGUACUUAUAAAUUUACAUAUUAGCAUAUUUGUGGAAAACCAAACAUAAAGGGAAAAAUGUAAAAAUAUCACAUAUUUAUUUCUAGAACAGAGCCAUAACAAAACUAGUAUUUUUCAGAUUUAGACUAAGUUCAUUUUAUCCGAAUGCCUAAACACAAAAUAAUUUUACAUGUACAUAACCCAUAUAAAUAUAAUUAUAUGGAAACUAAGGGGGAAGGAUAAACACUUAUGAAGAACUUUAUAAAAUCAGCAAGUAGAAACAGAUACUUCAGGUAUAAACUGGUCAAGAGCAUUGAAAGACUUGAACAAAGACUUGGCCAAAGAAGUUACAGGAAUGGCAAAUAAGCCCAU